CAGAGAUCAUGCCCUUCGGGGUAGACCUCCCACCCUGUGUUAUAUACGAUUGUUGCUUUGGCAGGUCGCCUUCGGGCACUCGGCUCUGGCUGAGGUGCACCUGCCAGAGGACCCCAAACUCUGAAUGUUAGUGUCGUCUGAGUACUAUAUAAUAGUUA
rnacentral:misc_RNA from 1 species